rnacentral:rRNA from 1 species
UUGCGGGGUAACGGCCCACCAAGUCGACGAUCGGUAGCCGGACUGAGAGGUUGAACGGCCACAUUGGGACUGAGACACGGCCCAGACUCCUACGGGAGGCAGCAGUAGGGAAUAUUGGUCAAUGGGGGAAACCCUGAACCAGCGACGCCGCGUGAGGGAAGAAGGUUUUCGGAUUGUAAACCUCUGUCUUUGGGGAAGAGAAGAAGACGGUACCCAAAGAGGAAGCUACGGCUAACUAC